AUUGAACGCUGGCGGCAGGCCUAACACAUGCAAGUCGAGCGGAGCGGCGGACGGGUGAGUAAUGCCUAGGAAUCUGCCUGGUAGUGGGGGAUAACGUCCGGAAACGGGCGCUAAUACCGCAUACUAUCAGAUGAGCCUAGGUCGGAUUAGCUAGUUGGUGGCGUAAAGGCCUACCAAGGCGACGAUGCGUAACUGUUCUGAGAGGAGGAUCAGUCACACUGGAACUUGGACACGGUCCAGAUUCCUACGUGCGGCAGCAGUGGGGAAUAUUGGUCAAUUGGCGAAAGCCUGUUCCAGCCAUUCCGAGUGUGUGAAGAAGGUCUUCGGAUUGUAAAUCACUUUAAGUUGGGAGACGUUACCAACAGAAGACGCACCGGCUAACUUCGUGCCAGCAGCCGCGGUAAUAC
rnacentral:rRNA from 1 species